UCCAUCAGUCACUAUAGUCUACAGUCGAUCAGUCACUAUAGUCUACAGUCGAUCAGUCACUAUAGUCUACAGUCCAUCAGUCACUAUAGUCUACAGUCCAUCAGUCACUAUAGUCUACAGUCCAUCAGUCACUAUAGUCUACGGUUUAUCAGUCACUAUAGUCUACGGUUGAUCAGUCACUAUAGUCUACGGUCCAUCAGUCACUAUAGUCUACAGUUGAUCAGUCACUAUAGUCUAUGGUUGAUCAGUCACUAUAGUCUACAGUCGAUCAGUCACUAUAGUCUACGGUUUAUCAGUCACUAUAGUCUACAAUAGAUCAGUCACUAUAGUCUACGGUUAAUCAGUCACUAUAGUCUACGGUUUAUCAGUCACUAUAGUCUACAGUAGAUCAGUCACUAUAGUCUACGGUUUAUCAGUCACUAUAGUCUACAGUAGAUCAGUCACUAUAGUCUACGGUUUAUCAGUCACUAUAGUCUACAGUUUAUCAGUCACUAUAGUCUACAGUAGAUCAGUCACUAUAGUCUACGGUCCAUCAGUCACUAUAGUCUACGGUAGAUCAGUCACUAUAGUCUACGGUUAAUCAGUCACUAUAGUCUACAGUUUAUCAGUCACUAUAGUCUACAGUAGAUCAGUCACUAUAGUCUACGGUCCAUCAGUCACUAUAGUCUACAGUUUAUCAGUCACUAUAGUCUACUUUUUAACAGUCACUAUAUUGUUAGGUUGAUCAGUCACUAUAUUGUUAGGUUGAUCAGUCACUAUAGUCUACGUUUUAUCAGUCACUAUAUUGUUAGGUUGAUCAGUCACUAUAGUGUUAGGUUGAUCAGUCACUAUCGUCUACGUUUUAUCAGUCACUAUAGUCUACGUUUUAACAGUCACUAUAGUCUACGUUUUAACAGUCACUAUAGUCUAUGGUUGAUCAGUCACUAUAGUCUAUGGUUGAUCAGUCACUAUAGUCUACAGUCGAUCAGUCACUAUAGUCUACGUUUUGUCAGUCACUAUAGUCUAUGAUUGAUCAGUCACUAUAGUCUAUGAUUGAUCAGUCACUAUAGUCUAUGGUUUAUCAGUCACUAUAGUCUACGGUUUAUCAGUCACUAUAGUCUACAGUCGAUCAGUCACUAUAGUCUACGGUAGAUCAGUCACUAUAGUCUACAGUCCAUCAGUCACUAUAGUCUACAGUCCAUCAGUCACUAUAUUCUACAGUCGAUCAGUCACUAUAGUCUACGGUAGAUCAGUCACUAUAGUCUACGGUAGAUCAGUCACUAUAGUCUACAGUCCAUCAGUCACUAUAUUCUACAGUCGAUCAGUCACUAUAGUCUACGGUAGAUCAGUUCCAAUAGUCUACUUUUUAACAGUCACUAUAGUCUACGUUGUGUAUUCUAUUGCCCCCACGGUUGACCAGACUCUAACUGAACUACAGUCUGCAUUCAUUGUAUUACAGAAAAACUUUGUUGACAUGAAAUUAGUAUUGAAUGCAGGCAAAACUCAUUAUAUGUUGUUCUCUAGA
rnacentral:lncRNA from 1 species